rnacentral:rRNA from 1 species
UUGCAGGGGAAWAAAGKCCAGASCGUUYCUGUUUUGWAUKUACCURGAAUAAGGAUUCGGCUAACYUCGUGCCAGCAGCCGCGGUAAUACGRRGAUCGRAGCGUUWUCCGRAUUUAUUGGGUUUAAGGKYGCGUAGGUGUUGAWAGUCAGCGGUGAAGUUCGCAGCUUAACUGUAAAAAUGCCCKUUGAAACUKUCGGACUUGRAGUGUAAAUGAGGUAGGCGGAAAUGCSUGGUGUAGCGGUGAAAUGCWUWGAUAUCACGCAGAACUCCGAUUGCGAAGGCAGCUACUAAGCUACAACUGACACUGAAGCACGAAAGCGUGGGAUCAAACAGGAUUAGAUACCCUGGUAGUCCACGCAGUAAACGAUGAUUACUAGCUGUUUGCGAUACACAGUAAGCGGCACAGCGAAAGCGUUAAGUAAUCCACCUGGGGAGUACGCCGGCAACGGUGAAACUCAAAGGAAUUGACGGGGGCCCGCACAAGCGGAGGAACAUGUGGUUUAAUUCGAUGAUACGCGAGGAACCUUACCCGGGUUUGAACGUAGGGAGACAGGAGUGGAAACAUUCUUUUCAGCAAUGACUGCCUACGAGGUGCUGCAUGGUUGUCGUCAGCUCGUGCCGUGAGGUGUCGGCUUAAGUGCCAUAACGAGCGCAACCCUUAUUUCCAGUUACUAACAGGUCAAGCUGAGGACUCUGGAGAGACUGCCAGCGUAAGCUGUGAGGAAGGUGGGGAUGACGUCAAAUCAGCACGGCCCUUACAUCCGGGGCGACACACGUGUUACAAUGGUAAGGACAAAGGGCAGCUACCGGGCGACCGGAUGCGAAUCUCUAAACCUUAUCUCAGUUCGGAUCGGAGUCUGCAACUCGACUCCGUGAAGCUGGAUUCGCUAGUAAUCGCGCAUCAGCCAUGGCGCGGUGAAUACGUUCCCGGGCCUUGUACACACCGCCCGUCAAGCCAUGGGAGCCGGGGGUACCUGAAGUUCGUAACCGCAAGGAUCGACCUAGGGUAAAACUGGUGACUGGGGCUAAGUCGUAACAAGGUAACC